AGACCGCCACGGUGACUUGCAAGCAAUUCACUGCACUUAGGCACUGGACUACUUGAAUUUCUAAUUUAGUGACGGAAGGCUGCUGGGUGUAGUCAAGUACUUGACUUGUCGGUGCGUGUGUCAAGAUGGGAUUGACCACUCCAGUUUAGGAGCUGUGUACAGUCAUGUUUCAAUUUAGCAAAAUCUUGGCUAGGGUAGCCCU
rnacentral:lncRNA from 1 species